GGGCGGGGCAGGGGAGGGACCAGAGCCCUGGCGCUGGCUCGCUUCUCCUCGGCCAGGAAUCCCAGUCCUCGGGGCCCGGGGGUCUUGUUUUGUUUAGUUUUUAGCACUUCUCACCAGAGUGAUGACAGCACCCGAGUUGCUUCUGGGAUGGAAAUGUUUCAAUUACGAGGAGGAACAAAGCUAAAGUCUGAUGGUUGCUAGUCGUGACGAGAUGAAACACGAGAAAGCAAGCAUGUCGUGCUUUUUCUGGUCAGUACCUUAAGUCCUGCAACGUUCUCUAGCCUCUGCCCCAUGGUUUUUCUCCCUUAAGAAAAAAAAAUGAGAAAAAGAAAAAAAGUUAAGAAGGUAUUCUAUGUAGGAGUUUUAAUUUAUUUUGUGAUACCAGUUUCAAUCACUGUAGAGAAGCCCCCAGUGAUGAAUUUAAAUACUGAGGAAAGGGUUUUGUGUGCGUGUGCGUGUGUGUGUGUGUGUGUGUGUGUGUGUAAGACAGGACAGUUUUCGGGUUUCUUUUGGUUUUUUGGUUUUGUUUUCGUGUUUUGGUUUUGGUUUUGGUUUUCAAACAUUUAUCUACCUCACUCUUCUUUUUUAUAUGUGUAUAUAUACAGAAGAAUACAUAUCCCAUCUCUCAGCACCUGACAAUAUGCCGUUGAUAUCGGUAACCUCAUCCACACCACAGGCCGAGCACAUGAGGCAGGGAGAGGCCAGGAGGCUGUAUUCGGGGGGUCGAAGCAACACUAACCCGCCUCUGCGCUCAUUUCAGACAGCUUGCCUUUCUCCCAGAUGUCUCGUUUCUUUCUCCUCCUCCUCCUCGCUUGGUCUCCUAAGAGGCUCCUCCUUAGGAUUCCCUUCCUGGCGGGCGGGGGGAGGCCGCCCGGCUGUCCCAGGCCGUCACUGAAACGGACUUUGCGCAGAGUGAAUGACACACAGAUUGUCAUCCGGAAGAGCGCUCGUUUUGCAGGUUUUGAGGACAGGGAGCACCGCGGGGGGGCAGUCAGUCUCUGGGCGUAACCGCACCUGUACGCGUGCGGUGUCCGGGUCUCAGGCCGCUGCUCUGGCCGCCGAGGCCCAGGCCUGCGCCGGUUCAGUUCGGUGGUGCGGCCACAUCAGCGCUUUGAGCCCCUGGCCCGCCAGGCCUCCUGCCCGAGAAAGCAGGCCUUCCUGCACUUGAGGAUGCACGCGGGAGAAAAGCUCCCCCCCCCCCCAGACUGUUCCUCCACCUCACCCUCCUCUCUUCCUCCCCCCGGGGAAAACAGAGACCAAACCUGCGGGCUGGAAGGGGCUGGCGGUCGGCGCCCGGCCUUCUCCCCGGGUGGCACUGCCUCCCGCCCGGGGCCUCACCUCCAUCCCAUCACCUGCUGCUCCCGGGCGGACGGCGCGCUGCCCGCUUCCAGACGCUGCUCUCGCAGGCACCGGUGAUCCUCUCUGGGAGACGCGGUGGCGGUUUUCCCGAAGGGCGGUGGCUCCUUUCAGAUCCCGCACCGCAGUUCCGUCCUGCGAGCACACUACUCUCUUUCCCCAGCCCCCUGGCAUCUUAAGGUCACUGAGAAAUACUGUCGGAUCAGGGUUUUCUUCUUCCGCACUGUAGGUGACCCCUGGGAAUAGUAGCCUCUCCUCUUUUGCACAAACCUACCGGUUUCCACAACUGGAUUUCUACAGAUCAUUCAGCUGGUUCUAAGGGUUUUGUUUCAACUGUCCUCGAGUUGUUGGUGUCCUUCUGUCUUUGUUUUACGUAGGUGGUUUCUCUUUAAGUAGAAAGAAAACAGUAAUAGCGUAGUGCCCAUCCUAACGAAAGCUUCAGAGACACUUAAAUAAAAGAAAAUUUUGCUUGCGUGACGGUGCAGUCAUUUUACUGGACCAAACCACCCACCUUGACUUUACCAAGGCAUCAUCUGUCCACAGUUCUAGCCUCAUUUUAUGCUGAUUUUCCCACCUCUUCUUGAUUUUUCUCUUUCGUAUGCUCCACAUAAUUUAAUCAAGCUGCGUUGUGGCAUUUUUCCACGCAACCUCCUCCUGACAGCAGCUCACGCUGCUUGAAGUGACGUGAACCACUGAGGCACAUCAUGGAAUUGAUGUGAGCAUUAAAACGUUAGCACACACAGCCCUUCCCCGAGGCAGCAGGAGCUGGCGUGUUCUGGAGACACUGUCGAACGUCAGCCGUGUGAUGCCCAGACCACUCCAGCUCUCCUUUGUGGGAUGUCGUGACGUUUGACACACAGUUGGAAUGAGCUUCCUCCUUGGAAGAUGGAAGACCGUGUUCGUGGCCGGCAGCGGCCUCUCCUUCCAACCUGUCUCUUAGGACUUGGGACGACAUUUCAAUGGUAGGAAAAGUGGCUUGGUAAAAUUAAAAAAAAAAAAAAAAAAAAGUGGUGACUGUGGAACUACCCGACGGCAAAAUGCUUGGCGUGAGGUGUGGUGUGUUUUGGUCGGGAUAACAGAUUUCCGAGCCGAGUAUGAUGCCAAAUUCUAGGCCAGUCUGUCCCACCAAAGCCUCUUUCUCAGCGGCUCACCUCCGUUGGUGGGUGGCUGUGCGUGAUGCAGGCUGCUGUUGUGGCAAGGUCACACUAUAGUUAGAUCGGUGAGAAGGCUAGGAUGCUUGGCCCAAGGUCCUCAGCUGUCACUGCCGGGUCCUCCCGGGGUGGCCAGUGUCAAAGGCAACUCCUUUCCAAAACAUAGGCACCCUCCGGUUGACAGUAAUGCUCCACAGUAUGCCUUGGCCCAUUCCAGCAGUCCCAGAAACGCAUUUAAGGUUUGGGGUUCUUUUGUUACUGUUACUUCUGUGUUUGUCGGCUGUUUUUGUCGUUGUUGUUUUUGUUUUGUUUUUUUAAUUUCCUGGGCUAAGCAGCAUUGGGCGAUACGGACCAGAUCCACUCUCUAAGCACCAGUGAUGAAAGUCAAACUUUCUUCCUCCCCUCUGACUAGUCGGUGGCACAAAUGAGAACUUCAAGAGAGGAUGUUGUGUAGAUUGAACCUCUGUUGCCAGAGAUGCUGAAGAUACAGACCUUGGACAGGCCAGAGGGUUUCAUUUUGGGCGUCCGGCUUAGAUGGCUAGUUGGUCACUUAGAGAAAAAGGAGAUGAACACCCCUUGAGGGUGGGAUGAUCAGGCAGCGGGAAACCACUGUACCAGGGUCAUGACGUGACAUGGAGCAGAGUGGCGAGCAGAAGGGUACAGGGCUAGCAAGAAGUGUGGGCCACGUUUUGAACUUGAUGGUUUCUGACGGUAUCAGACCACAUCAAGGCGCAACAGUCAUCCAAGGGCAUUUGGUUUCAACAAAUAAACCUGACAUCCUACUUUGGAAACGGUCGUUGCAGUUAAGUGAGAUCGUUCAAGAAUGCGAACUGCAUCACAACGGUCGGUUGUCAGUUCUGGGGCAUGACUUUAGGGUUUUGUUUUACUUUGUUAUGCAAGAACAUAAUGAUCACUCAUCUGUACGUCCACGUUUGUGUGUGUCCACAUCUUUCUGGUAAACAUUGUUUUAAUUAGUCACUCAUUAGUGUUUUCAAUAGGGCUCUUAAGUCCAGUAGAUUACGGGUAGUCAGUUGACGAAGAUCUGGUUUACAAGAACUAAUUAAAUGUUUCAUUGCAUUUUUGUAAGAACAUAGAAUAAUUUUAUAAAAUGUUUGUAGUUUAUAAUUGCCGAAAAUAAUUUAAAGACACUUUUUUUCUCUGUGUGUGCAAAUGUGUGUUUGUGAUCCAUUUUUUAGGACACCUGUUUACUAGCUAGCUUUACAAUAUGCCAAAAAAAAAAAAAAGUUUUUGUUUUUGUUUUUUUUCCCCCUGACCCAGGCCGUUGGUUCACCCUCUUUUCCCCCAUGCUUUGUGCCCUAGUUUAUAACAAAGGAAUGAUGAUUUAAGAAGUAGUUCUGUAUCUUCAGUAUCUUGGUCUUCCAGAACCCUCUGGUUGGGAAGGGGAUCAUCUUUCACUGGUCAUUUCCCUUUGGAGUGUAAGACUGAAGGAGCCUCAUUGGCCAAGCACCCAGCAGAGGCGUUGCAGCCCAGCGGUGGCCCUGGCACUCCUGAGCGUCUGGUUUGGUUGGUCGGGCCGUCACCGUGGGCAUGCAGUGCCUGGAGAGGGAAGGACCUGAUGGCGAGGUGAUCACAGCAUGCAGACUUAUCACGCUAAUGAUGAUAACUCUGUGCGCACAGGCCGUUUGCUUACAUGCCUCAUAUCGUGAUUAGCGCUUUGUUCUAACAAGGAAGAGACCCUAUUUCUUUUCUUUAAGGCAGAACACCGAAGAUACAUUUUUCCAGUCCAAAACAAGUCCUUUUGCGUAAAAAGUACACACACACACACACACAAAAAUGUGUUUAAGUCGGACUCCAUUUCCUCUCGCUCCCAAUGGAUUAUUGGCCAUGUCUACACUACUCCACAAAAUCUCCAUCGUUAUAAACAUCUGGAUGUUUUGCACUACAUGGGAGAAAGGUCCAGAAACAAUUGGUUUUUUGUUUUCAACUGUUCAUUCAGAUAUUUGGCGUUGCAUACACACACCCACAGGUGGAACAGGUGCUUGGCGAAAACACCUGUCUGCUUUCUAAGCCAGUGAGGUUGAGGUGAGAGGUUUGCCAGCGUGUCUACCUCUGGGGCAAAGAGAAAAAAGAAUCAAACCAGAAGGCGCAAUGGAAUGGAUGCAUCGCAAAUAACGCAUUUUCUGAGUUUUCUUGUUUAAAAAAAGUUUUUUAAAAAAGUAUAAAAAAAGGUAAUAACAUGGCCAAUUUGUUACAUAAAAUGACUUUCUGUGUAUAAAUUAUUCCUAAAAAAAAUCCUCUGUUUAUAUAAAAAAAAUCAGUAGAUGAAAAAAAUUUCAAAAUGUUUUUGUAUAUUCUGUUGUAAGAAUUUAUUCCUGUUACUGCGAUAUACUCUGGAUUCUUUACAUUAUGAAAAAAAAAAAAGAAACUUUGUCUAUUUUGAAUGGCUGAAGCUAAGGCAACUUUAGUUUCUCUUACUCUGCUUUUUUCUAGUAGUUAAAGUACUACAUGGUUUAAGUUAAAUAAAAAGAAUUCUG
rnacentral:lncRNA from 1 species